rnacentral:rRNA from 1 species
CCCUUAGAUGUUCUGGGCUGCACGCGCGCUACACUGAUGCGCUCAACGAGUUUACGAACUUGCCCGGAAGGGUUGGUUAAUCUUUUUAAAACGCAUCGUGAUGGGGAUAGAUUAUUGCAAUUAUUAAUCUUCAACGAGGAAUUCCUAGUAAGCGCGAGUCAUCAGCUCGCACUGAUUACGUCCCUGCCCUUUGUACACACCGCCCGUCGCUCCUACCGAUUGAAUGGUCCGGUGAAAUCUCGGGACGGCGGCUUGGUCGCUUGCGUCCGACUGCUGAAACUUGAUUAAACCAUAUCAUUUAGAGGAAGGUGAAGUCGUAACA